rnacentral:rRNA from 1 species
CCUACGGGAGGCAGCAGUGGGGAAUAUUGCACAAUGGGGGAAACCCUGAUGCAGCAACGCCGCGUGAGUGAAGAAGUAUUUCGGUACGUAAAGCUCUAUCCGCAGGGAAGAAAAUGACGGUACCUGACUAAGAAGCACCGGCUAACUACGUGCCAGCAGCCGCGGUAAUACGUAGGGGGCAAGCGUUAUCCGGAUUUACUGGGUGUAAAGGGAGCGUAGACGGUAGCGAAAGUCUGGAGUGAAAUGCCAUGGCUUAACCAUGGAACUGCUUUGGAAACUGUGCAGCUAGAGUGCAGGAGAGGUAAGCGGAAUUCCUGGUGUAGCGGUGAAAUGCGUAGAUAUUAGGAGGAACACCAGUGGCGAAGGCGGCUUACUGGACUGUAACUGACGUUGAGGCACGAAAGCGUGGGGAGCAAACAGGAUUAGAUACCCCGGUAGUC